CCCCAACAUGGUACAUGUGAUUCAGUUCAUGGUCCCCAGGAGAAUCUUCUCCUGCUUUGGUAGCACCUGUCUUCUCUCUCCCCUGCCCCUGCCACUGCCUUAACCCAGACUCUCACCAGCUCAUUCAACUAUAAAUGCAGGAGUUUCCCAAUGGCUCAGUGUCCCCGCCCUCAGGCCCUUUUCCUUUGAUCCACUCUCCACACUGCUGCCAGGGAGCUUGCCAGAAGGCAGGUCUGAGCGUGCUGUGCCGCCAGUCUCCUCUGUGAAGGCCUUCAGCGGCUCUUCCCAUCAAUGGGAGAAAGUCCCCAUACCUGUCCCACUCUUACCAGACUUCCUUUCUCGGAACGUUCUGGGCUCCUUUGACACAUGCUUUCUCUCCUGUCCAGAUUUUCCUCUCUCAAACUUGGCCAUCUUCACAGAUGAUCUAUUGAACUCACCUUUCCAGGCUCGUGUUGAACAGUACUUCUUCUGUGAGACGUCUCCCAGGCCCAUUGACCAGUCCAAGAAACACGGUUCCAACCCAACUGCAAGG
ensembl:lncRNA